AUGGUUGACAUGAUAUGCCAAUAAGCUUGGAAAUUAUUAAUGAGUUUUUAAAAUAUAUACAGCGUUUACAUACAACACUACAGCAAACUUUUUGUUUCCGAUGAACAACUAUCUGUCAUCUCUCCGUGACCGAAAUAGAGCAAUGGUCAGAAAAUGAUCUCACCUCCACUGGAGCACGACAUUCUGGGCACUCCAAGCCACAUUCAUGCUCGGAAAGUUUCACGAUACAUUCAUAACAAUAUGAAUGAAGACACGGGAAUACUUUGGGGUUGUUUAGCAACUCAUGACACACAGCACACUUGACUAGUUCUUCCAAUUUUUCAAUGGUCUUUGACCGAUGUUUUUUGGCUGGUUUUGAUAACAACAUUCUUUAC